rnacentral:ncRNA from 2 species
UGUGGCCGCCGCGACUGGCGAAGGUGGAGUACCACCGGGGAGCGGCUGCCGGACCUGUUAGGCGUCGUCCGCCUGGGCGCCUCCG